rnacentral:ribozyme from 1 species
GGUUGCAAGUUUGUGACCACAGCAGAAGAGUUCAUGACACAGCUCUGUCAGAUUCCAAUGAAUCUGCAAAUUCUGCU